rnacentral:rRNA from 1 species
UACGUAGGGCGCAAGCGUUGUCCGGAAUUAUUGGGCGUAAAGCGCGUGUAGGCGGCUUUGCAAGUCGGGUGUGAAAGCCCUCAGCUCAACUGAGGAAGUGCGCCCGAAACUGCAUGGCUUGAGUACCGGAGAGGAUGGUGGAAUUCCCCAAGUAGAGGUGAAAUUCGUAGAUAUGGGGAGGAACACCGGUGGCGAAGGCGACCAUCUGGACGGAUACUGACGCUGAGACGCGAAAGCGUGGGUAGCAAACAGG